rnacentral:rRNA from 1 species
ACGGAGGGGGCAAGCGUUGUUCGGAUUUACUGGGCGUAAAGGGUGCGUAGGCGGUCGCGCAAGUCUGAUGUGAAAUCUUCGCCGCUCAACGGGAAGAGGUCAUUGGAAACUGCGUGACUUGAGUAUGGUAGAGGCAGGCGGAAUUCCUGGUGUAGCGGUGGAAUGUGUAGAUAUCAGGAAGAACACCGGUGGCGAAGGCGGCCUGCUGGGCCAUCACUGACGCUGAGGCACGAAAGCGUGGGGAGCAAACGG